UUUAGACCAAUAUCCCUGAUGAACAUCGAUGCAAAAAUCCUCAAUAAAAUACUGGCAAACUGAAUCCAGCAGCACAUCGAAAGGCUUAUCCACCAUGAUCAAGUCAGCUUCAUCCCUGGGAUGCAACGCUGGUUCAACAUACGCAAAUCAAUAAACGUAAUCCAUCACAUAAACAGCACCAAUGACAAAAACCACAUAAUUAUCUCAAUAGCUGCAGAAAAGGCCUUUGACAAAAUUCAACAGCCCUUCAUGCUAAAAACUCUCAAUAAACUAGGUAUUGAUGGAACGUAUCUCAAAAUAAUAAGACAAACCCACAGCCAAUAUUUAUGACAAACCCACAGCCAAUAUCAUACUGAAUGGGAAAAAACUGGAAGCAUUCCCUCUGAAAACCAGCACAAGACAAGGAUGCCCUCUCUCACCACUUCUAUUCAACAUAGUGUUAGAAGUUUUGGUCAAGGCAAUCAGGCAAGAGAAAGAAAUAAAGGGUAUUCAAUUAGGAAAAGACGAAGUCAAAUUGUCCCUGUUUGCAGAUGACAUGAUUGUAUAUUUAGAAAACCCCAUCAUCUCAGCCCAAAAUCUCCUUAAGCUGAUAAGCAACUUCAGCAAAGUCUCAGGGCACAAAAUCGAUGUGCUAAAAUCACAAGCAUUACUAUACAUCAAUAACAGACAAACAAAGAGCCAAAUCAUGAGUGAACUCUCAUUCACAAUUGCUACAAAGAGAAUAAAAUACCUAGGAAUCCAACUUAUAAGGGAUGUGAAGGACUUCUUCAAGGAGAACUACAAACCACUGCUCAACGAAAUAAAAGAGGACACAAACAAAUGGAAGAACAUUCCAUGCUAAUGGAUAGGAAGAAUCAAUAUCGUAAAAAUGGCCAUACUGCCCAAGGUAAUUUAUAGAUUCAAUACCAUCCCCAUCAAGCUACCAAUGACUUUCUUCACAGGAUUGGAAAAAACUGCUUUAAAGUUCAUAUGGAACCAAAAAAAAGCCCACAUUGCCAAGACAUUCCUAAGCAAAAAGAACAAAGCUGGAGGCAUCAAACUAUACUACUGACUUCAAACUAUACUACGAGGCUACAGUAACAAAAACAACAUGGUACUGGUACCAAAACAGAUAUAUAGACAAAUGGAACAGAACAGAGGCCUCAGAAAUAACACCACACAUCUACAAUCAUCUGAUCUUUGACAAACCUGACAAAAACAAGAAAUUGGGAACAGAUUCCCUAUUGAUUAAAUGGUGCUGGGAAAACUGGCUAGCCAUAUGUAGAAAGCUGAAACUGGAUCCCUUCCUUACACCUUAUACAAAAAUUAAUUCAAGGUGGAUUAAAGACUUAAAUGUUAGACCUGAAACCAUAAAAACUCUAGAAGAAAACCUAGGCAAUACCAUUCAGGACAUACACAUGGGCAAGGACUUCAUGACUAAAACACCAAAAGCAAUGGCAACAAAAGCCAAAAUAGAUGAAUGGGAUCUAAUUAAAGAGCUUUUGCACAGCAAAAGAAACUACCAUCAGAGUGAACAGGUAACCUACAGAAUGGGAGAAUAUUUUUGCAAUCUACCCAUCUGACAAAGGGCUAAUAUCUAGAAUCUACAAAGAACUUAAACAAAUUUUCAAGAAAAAAACAAACAAACCCAUCAAAAAGUGGGCAAAGGAUGUGAACAGACACUUCUCAAAAGAAGACAUUUAUGCAGCCAGCAGACACAUGAAAAAAUGCUCAUCAUCACUAGUCAUCAGAGAAAUGCAAAUCAAAACCACAAUGAGAUAC
rnacentral:lncRNA from 1 species